UACGGAGGGUGCGAACGUUAAUCGGAAUCACUGGGCGUAAAGCGCGCGUAGGCGGUUCGUUAAGUGGGAUGUGAAAUCCCCGGGCUUAACCUGGGAAUUGCAUUUCAAACUGGCCGACUAGAGUACGGUAGAGGGAGGUAGAAUUUCCUGUGUAGCGGUGAAAUGCGUAGAUAUCGUAAGGAAGACCAGUGGCGAAGGCGGGUCUCUGGACAGUUCCUGACGCUGAGGCACGAAGGUCAGGGGAGCAAACGGG
rnacentral:rRNA from 1 species